GUACAGUUCAUGUCUUUUCUUUAUUUGAAAAACAGUGGAAAACUGCUCAUUUUCUGGAUAGAAAAGGUUUUACUUUAUUUUGAAAUAGCGCUUGGCUUUGCAGUUCCUUUUCACUUUGUGUUGGGUCACUGAGUUGCUCCACUAGUUAAAGCUAAAUGUUAAAGAGCACAAUCCAGGGAAAACAAUAACACUAAGGACAUCUGAUCUAAUAAUAACUCCAGCUUUAGGAACAUGCAAAAAGUAUCAAAUCAAUAAAGCGAUUCUAUUCUACCCCACCAUGAAAUCAAAUGAAAGAAUUUUGCAACAUUUAUUAUUAACGAACCACCAGACAAGAGCAAAAAUUCAUACCAGAUUUACCUUAUAGCACUAAAACCACUACUAAAAGAAAAAAAGUGAACACCACCCACAGUACAAAAUUAAAAAAUAAAAAAUAAAAAAUAAAACCGAAUUAGUAGCGUAUAAUAUACAAAAUAACCGAGGUAGAGAACAAGCUCUGAAACUGGAAACAAAUAUGCUGAUAAAUUCGGAAGUAUUUUUC